UUACUAAACAGAAAGAUAUCAAGGAGUGUGGUCUGUCCAGUACAGACCCACAGGAUAGAGCUAGCUGGAGGCGUGGUGUCCAGAACAGCCGACUGCUGCCCACCCCUGG